CCUUUGGUGUUAAAUUUAUAAGUUUCAUGAUGCAAAAUGAGAGGAAUGUAUGGUAGUUUUUUGUUUGGGAUUUAAUUGAGUUUGAAAGCUGUUAAUGCCGAAUUGAGGGAAGCUUUCAUCAGAAUUCUUGUUGCAGGCAAUGUUUACGUACCUUUGCAUGGUUUUGCAUGAAACUAUUUUUGAAAAUUUCACUUUAACCCCCCAAGUCUCCCCUUGUUCUACUAUGACCCACAAAUUUGAGAAAGCUAAUCAAUUGGGUCCCUGUGAUUUUUGCAGCAAUGCAUUAUGGCCCAAUUACAUUCCAUGUUCUUGCAAUUAGGUCCUAAGGUGUUUGCAUUCGAAUCAUUAAUUGAUCUUUAUUAUUUUGGGGACCUUUGAAGCUCUUUGAUGAUUCAUUUUGACGUUGAUUGUGAUUGAUUAGUGAUCAUUAUUGGGUCCUAGAAAUGCAAGUUUAAACCAUUCAUGGACCUUCAUUCACUCUUGGAUUCUUGAGAUAUGAUGUUUGCUUGGACUUUAAUUUUUACUUGGGGACCUUUGAGUUUUUAAAUGCUUCAAUUAGGUUCAAUUGAUUUGAGUAGUGCUUGCAUUUGGGUCUUUAGUGGAUGUUAUGCUUGGAGGUUGGAUGAUCAUGUCUUUGCUUGGUCUUUAAUUAGCUUUUUACUUCAUUAAGUUGUAAUUGGGGGAAAAUUUGAUGAUUAGGUGGAUUCCAAUUGUUUUGUUUAUAUCUUAUAAUUAAAUUGGUGCGUUAAUCCUUUGCUUUGAAUGGUCUUAGCACAUGUUAUCCCGUUAGUUGGUGACUUAGCCCAGUUUAAAUCUCGUCCAUUUAACACUACAAAAGGGAGUGGUAUAAUUUCUUUUAUCUUUUUUGUUUCUCUUAUGUGACUCAACGUGCUAAGUGAAUUGCAUGUCUACUUUGCUUUCUUAGCUUUUCUUUAAUUCCUUUUACUUAUGUCAUUUGCUUUUUGCUUUCAUUAAGUUAUUCUUUUAAUGGGGUAUGUGUACACCUCUUGGCUUGUAAUAGAUAGGGCGUAGCAAGUAAUUUGGUCCACUUUCCCUUUCCCUUUUGUUUUAGUUAGCAAAUGUAAUGGUUACAUGCCUAUGUGUUAUAUGUUAAAUGCUUUAUUAGGAUUUUGCAUCUAGUCAAGCAUGCAAAGUGUUAUGUGCUACGUGUUUAUAAGUGAUUCGCAUGUCUACUCGCUUUUUAUAGUGUGGAUGAAUGGAAUGAAUGAAUGUACGUCAUCACACUAGUCCAACGCUAGUUGUGGCUUCUUUUAUCGUUUCCACUAGUCCAACGCUAGUCGGAAUUCAUAGGAGGGGCUAGUCCAAUGCUAGACCCAAUAGGUUCUUUUUUUCCCUUUUUCAUUAAGUGCAUGAUCACCACAUAUCACGCAUUUUUCCUUAGUUUAUCAUUUGGCAUGUUCCUCAAACCCCUUCCCCUUCACUUUAGGACUUGCAUCUCAUGCUAGUUAGGGUUCAUUUGCGUGAAAAUCCCCUUCCGAUAAGGGAAACGAGCGAGUGUGGCUUCAAAUAGCCUUAGCACGCUAGUUUUUCCUUCUAGUCAAAGGGAAAAUUAAAAUCAUAAAACUAGAGGUCAUCCCCGUACCCGACUUGAU
rnacentral:lncRNA from 1 species